ensembl:lncRNA
AUUGUGUCCCUGAAGUGACUCCAAAAUGUCCCAUAAAUGUGUCCCCAAAAUGUGACCCCAAAAUGUGACCCCAAAUGUCCCCAAAUUGACCCCAUAUGUCCCCAAAAUGUGACCCCAAAAAUGUGUCCCCAAAUGUCCCCAUAAGUGUGUCCCCAAAAUGUGUCCCCAAAGGGACCUUUGAGAGCUGUGUCCCAAAAUGUCCCCAAAAUUGUGUCCCCAAAUUGUCCCAAAAUGUGACCCCAAAUGUCCCCAAAAUGUGACCCCAAAUGUCCCCAAAAUGUGUCCCCAAAGUGUGUCCCCAAAGUGCCCCAAAGUGUGACCCCAAAUGUCCCCAAAGUGACACGGGGACAUUGGAUGGGGACACUGGGAUAUGGGGUAUGGGGACAUCAUUGGGAUAUGGGGACAUUGGGAUAUGGGGACGUCAUUGGGAUUUGGGGACGUCAUUGGGAUAUGGGGACAUCACUGGGAUUUGGGGACAUUAUUGGGAUAUGGGGACAUUGGGAUAUGGGGACAUCAUUGGGAUUUGGGGACGUCAUUGGGAUUUGGGGACAUCACUGGGAUUUGGGGGCAUUAUUGGGAUAUGGGGACGUCAUUGGGAUUUUGGGGCAUCACUGGGAUUUGGGGACACGGGGACAGGAAGGGGACAAACUGGGGUGGCUGACGGGUGGGUGGUGCUGGCGGUGCCAUCAUGUCGGCGCCGUCCCCCCCCCGGAUCCCCCGGCCAACAGCAGAGGGAGGAGAGCAGGGGUGGCACCAGUGUCACCGUUGUCACCGUUGUUGUGACCCUCGUUGUCACCGUCGUCGUCACCGUCAUCGUCACCGUCCCGUGCCGGGCGCAGCACGCGGUUGUGCAGACGGCUGUAGCGGCGUGCGCACAGACUGCGGGGUGACAACGGGUGACACCAUUGGGUGACACCACUGGGUGACAGCUCUGGGUGACACAAUGGGUGACAGCAUUGGGUGAUGCCAUUGGGUGACACCGUUGGGUGACACCUCUGGGUGACACCACUGGGUGACACCGUUGCGUGACAACUCCAGGUGACACCACUGGGUGACACCUCCGGGUGACAGCUCUGGGUGACACAAUGGGUGACAGCAUUGGGUGACGCCGUUGAGUGACACCUCUGGGUGACACCACUGGGUGACAACUCCGGGUGACAGCACUGGGUGAUGCCAUUGGGUGACACAAUGGGUGACACCAUUGGGUGAUACCAUUGGGUGACACCACUGGGUGACACUGUUUCAUGACAACUCCAGGUGACACCACUGAGUGACAACUCUGGGUGACACCAUUGGGUGAUGCCAUUGGGUGACACAAUGGGUGACACCUCUGGGUGACACCAUUGAGUGACACCUCUGACUGACAUCACUGGGUGACGCCAUUGGGUGACACAAUGGGUGACACCACUGGGUGACAGCUCUGGGUGACAGCACUGGGUGACACCAUUGGGUGGCAAAAUGGGUGACAUCUCUGGGUGACACCACUGGGUGACACAAUGGUGACAUCGUUGGGUGACGCCAUUGGGUGACGCUUCUGAGUGACACCACUGGGUGACACCACCAGGUGAUGGCCCUGUCCCAGUCCUCCCAGUUCUCCCAGUUCAUCCCAGUCCUCCCAAUCCUCCCAGUCCAUCCCAGUCCCUCCCAGUCCAGCCCAGUC